rnacentral:rRNA from 1 species
UACAGAGGUCUCAAGCGUUGUUCGGAUUCAUUGGGCGUAAAGAGCUCGUAGGCGGCUUGUUGCGUCGUCCGUGAAAACCUGUGGCUCAACUACAGGCUUGCGGUCGAUACGGGCGGGCUGGAGUUCGGUAGGGGAGACUGGAAUUCCUGGUGUAGCGGUGAAAUGCGCAGAUAUCAGGAGGAACACCGGUGGCGAAGGCGGGUCUCUGGGCCGAUACUGACGCUGAGGAGCGAAAGCGUGGGGAGCGAACAGG